rnacentral:lncRNA from 10 species
AGAAGGAGUGCGGUCCACUGGAGGUCUCCCUACAUUCUUCCUCCAUUAUCUCACUGCCUCCGGUGGCUGCUGGGAUACCGGAGGACUCGGGUCCCGGCUCGACUCAGUCCUCCAGCCGCCCGGGGAAUACCUCUAGUUCUUCCCGGCCGCCGCCGCCUCCGCCCCGCCGCUUCCUCCUCCGCCUGCCGGCCUCCUUCGCCCCGCCCCGUCCGCGCAGCUCGUCCGGCCCGCCCGCAGGCCAGCUUCUCUCGGGAGCCUCCACCCAGGCGCAUGGCUCCAUGAAGCAAGAGGAGGAGGCAGAGCGCGAGAGAUCCCGUCCGCCCCAGCCGCGUCUGGGCCAGGAGAAAAGCAAAACCAUAUUCCUGCUGCUGUCAGUUUUGAUGCACUGAGAAAACUUCAGAGACCUAAGCUUUUUCCAGAGAAGAGAAGCUUUACUGGUGUUCCAGCCCUAAGGCUCAUAUGACAUUAACAGACAAGACACUUUUCAGAAAGACAGGCAACGUGUUGGACCUUCCGGAGCUUCUCAGAAGACAGAGGGUUUUCUUUUGAGGCUGUUGUACAGUGGCCUGAUUAUAGCUCACUGUAGCCUCGAAAUUCUGGGCCGAAAUGAUCCGCCUGCCUCAGCCUCCAAAGUAGCUGAGACUACAGUACCGUCUGGCAAAUGAUCUGCUUGGAUCCUCCUGGCUUUUUGAGAAUCGGCUGGCAUCAGG